CACCGCGAAGAACCUUACCAGGUCUUGACAUCCCGAUGCUAUUCUAGAGAUAGAAAGUUACUUCGGUACAUCGGUGACAGGUGGUGCAUGGUUGUCGUCAGCUCGUGUCGUGAGAUGUUGGGUUAAGUCCCGCAACGAGCGCAACCCCUAUUGUUAGUUGCCAUCAUUCAGUUGGGCACUCUAGCGAGACUGCCGGUAAUAAACCGGAGGAAGGUGGGGAUGACGUCAAAUCAUCAUGCCCCUUAUGACCUGGGCUACACACGUGCUACAAUGGUUGGUACAACGAGUUGCGAGUCGGUGACGGCGAGCUAAUCUCUUAAAGCCAAUCUCAGUUCGGAUUGUAGGCUGCAACUCGCCUACAUGAAGUCGGAAUCGCUAGUAAUCGCGGAUCAGCACGCCGCGGUGAAUACGUUCCCGGGCCUU
rnacentral:rRNA from 1 species